AGAGUUUGAUCCUGGCUCAGAACGUACGCUGGCGGCACGCCUAACACAUGCAAGUCGAACGAAGUAGCAAUACUUAGUGGCGAACGGGUGAGUAUAAUGUGGGUAUCUGCCCUUUGGUCUGGAAUAACACGGGGAAACUUGUGCUAAUACUAGAUAAGCCUUUACAGGGAAAGCUUUAGCGCCAAUGGAUGAGCUCACACUUGAUUAACUAGUUGGUAGGGUAAUGGCCUACCAAGGUUGCGAUCAAUAGCUGAUCUGAGAGGAUGAUCAGCCACAUUGGGACUGAGACACGGCCCAGACUCCUACGGGAGGCAGCAGUGGGGAAUCUUGCACAAUGGGGGAAACCCUGAUGCAGCGAUGCCGCGUGAGUGAAGAAGGCCUUUGGGUUGUAAAACUCUUUCGUCGGGGAAGAAAAUGACUGUACCCGAAUAAGAAGGUCCGGCUAACUUCGUGCCAGCAGCCGCGGUAAUACGAAGGGACCUAGCGUAGUUCGGAAUUACUGGGCUUAAAGAGCUCGUAGGUGGUUAAAGAAGUUGGUGGUGAAAUCCCAAGGCUUAACCUUGGAACUGCCAUCAAAACUUUUUAGCUAGAGUAUGAUAGAGGAAAGUGGAAUUUCUAGUGUAGAGGUGAAAUUCGUAGAUAUUAGAAAGAACACCAAAAGCGAAGGCAACUUUCUGGAUCAUUACUGACACUGAGGAGCGAAAGCAUGGGUAGCGAAGAGGAUUAGAUACCCUCGUAGUCCAUGCUGUAAACGAUGUGUGCUAGACGUUGGAAAUUUAAUUUUCAGUGUCGCAGCAAAAGCAUUAAGCACACCGCCUGGGGAGUACGACCGCAAGGGUUAAAACUCAAAUGAAUUUG
rnacentral:rRNA from 1 species